rnacentral:rRNA from 1 species
GACGAACGCUGGCGGCGUGCUUAACACAUGCAAGUCGAACGAAGUGGCGAACGGGUGAGUAACGCGUGAUCAACCUGCCCUUCAGAGGGGACCAACAGUUGGAAACGACUGCUAAUACCGCAUACUGAAGGAGGGGAUUGCGUCUGAUUAGCUAGUUGGAGGGGUAAAGGCCAACCAAGGCGAUGAUCAGUAGCCGGUUGGGGAGGAUGAACCGCCACAUUGGGACGGAGACACGGCCCAGACUCCCACGGGAGGCAGCAGUGGGGAAGUUUCCGCCAUGGACGAAAGUCUGACGGAGCAACGCCGCGGGAGUGAUGACGGCCUUCGGGUUGUAAAGCUCUGUUAAUCGGGACGCGGUACCGGAAUAGAAAGCCACGGCUAACUACGUGCCAGCAGCCGCGGUAAUUC